GAUGAACGCUGGCGGCGUGCCUAAUACAUGCAAGUAGAACGCUGAAGGAGGAGCUUGCUCUUCUGGAUGAGUUGCGAACGGGUGAGUAACGCGUAGGUAACCUGCCUGGUAGCGGGGGAUAACUAUUGGAAACGAUAGCUAAUACCGCAUGACAACAGUUAUUGCAUGAUAACUGUUUAAAAGGGGCAACUGCUCCACUACCAGAUGGACCUGCGUUGUAUUAGCUAGUUGGUGAGGUAACGGCUCACCAAGGCGACGAUACAUAGCCGACCUGAGAGGGUGAUCGGCCAAACUGGGACUGAGACACGGCCCAGACUCCUACGGGAGGCAGCAGUAGGGAAUCUUCGGCAAUGGUCGGAAGUCUGACCGAGCAACGCCGCGUGAGUGAAGAAGGUUUUCGGAUCGUAAAGCUCUGUUGUAAGAGAAGAACGAGUGUGAGAGUGGAAAGUUCACACUGUGACGGUAUCUUACCAGAAAGGGACGGCUAACUACGUG
rnacentral:rRNA from 1 species